rnacentral:rRNA from 1 species
AUUGAACGCUGGCGGAAUGCUUUACACAUGCAAGUCGAACGGCAGCACGGGAGCUUGCUCCUGGUGGCGAGUGGCGGACGGGUGAGUAAUAUAUCGGAACGUAUCCAAUAAUGGGGGAUAACUAUCCGAAAGGAUAGCUAAUACCGCAUACGCCCUGAGGGGGAAAGCUAGGGAUCUUCGGACCUGGUGUUAAUGGAGCGUCCGAUAACUGAUUAGCUAGUUGGUGAGGUAAAGGCUGACCAAGGCGACGAUCAGUAGCUGGUCUGAGAGGACGACCAGCCACACUGGAACUGAGACACGGUCCAGACUCCUACGGGAGGCAGCAGUGGGGAAUUUUGGACAAUGGGGGCAACCCUGAUCCAGCCAUUCCGCGUGAGUGAAGAAGGCCUUCGGGUUGUAAAGCUCUUUCGCAAGGGAAGAAAACUUAGUCUCUAACAUAGACUGAGGUUGACGGUACCUUGAUAAGAAGCACCGGCUAACUACGUGCCAGCCGCCGCGGUAAUAC